UGGGGAAUUUUGCACAAUGGGGGAAACCCUGAUGCAGCGACGCCGCGUGAUUUAGAAGGCCUUCGGGUUGUAAAAAUCUUUUUUACGGGAUGAAAAUGACAGUACCGUAAGAAUAAGGUCCGGCUAAAUACGUGCCAGCAGCCGCGGUAAUACGUAUGGACCGAGCGUUGUCCGGAAUCAUUGGGCGUAAAGGGUACGUAGGCGGUUAGAUAAGUCUGAAGUUAAAGGCAGUGGCUCAACCAUUGUAGGCUUUGGAAACUGUUUAACUUGAGUGCAGAAGGGGAGAGUGGAAUUCCAUGUGUAGCGGUGAAAUGCGUAGAUAUAUGGAGGAACACCGGUGGCGAAAGCGGCUCUCUGGUCUGUAACUGACGCUGAGGCUCGAAAGCGUGGGGAGCGAACAGG
rnacentral:rRNA from 1 species